GUAAAUCGAUCAAAUUUAGAAAAAUAUCUAAAACACAAAACAAACGAUAAAUCCUAUGGAAUUGUUUAAGCUCCAUCGGUACUUGGUUCUGCUUUUGUUUAUACUAUGUUGUGCUGCUGUUCUAGAACAAGGCAUUUGGGCUGAAGCUACUCGGCCGCUUCCGCUUUUACCUAAACAAAGUAAGCAAUGCUCUCUCUCUCUCUCUCUCUCUCUCUCUCUCUCUCUCUCUCUCUCUCUCUCUCUCUAAAAUUGAAGUGACAAUGGAAACAGGUUAUUCGAAGAUAUUUGCAAGUCUUGGGGUGGUUUGCAAAUGCUGUGAUGGGGAGGAAUCAUCAUCAUGCACUACUACUUCUUUGGAUGGUUCUUGCUCCUACAAACUCUACUGCCAAUCAUGGAAGUUCGAUUAAUAACACGUUUUUUUCCGAUUCAUCCCUCGCAACAUAUAUAUGUUCUUGAAUUUCUAUAGAGUAGAAGAAAUAUUUUUUAAUUGCUUUUUUGGAUAAUAUAUAUGUAUAGAUAUAUCAGUAUAUGUAUAUGUAUGUAUAUACACUGCAGUGAAUUUUACUUGGUCAAAAGCCAAUAAUAAUAAAGAUUUUUGGUGACACAUUAGUGUAACAAUUAUUAACAAAUAUUGGGCCAAUAGUUAUAUGGGCCAUCCCAAUUAAAUCUAUUUUUUGAUUACA
rnacentral:lncRNA from 1 species